UCCAUGUCGGAGAGCUGCUGUGGCUCCAGCACAGUGAGGAAACUGUGGCUGAGAGCUUUGAGCAGCCGCAGGAUGGGGCAUCCUCACCCCAGAGGGGGAGCUGGGAGCCCAGUGCACCUCCAUGGACAUGGUGCCUCCAGGCUCAGCCACCUCUGCACGGCUCCUUCAGGACCCAGGGGUGACAGCAGAUGAACAUGGAGUCCUGCAGAGCUCCAGGUCCCACAGCCCCAGCAUCUUGGCUUGCACAGCUUCAGGGCCAUUGACUCCUCUGAGGUGCCAAAGGACCACCACUGACUCCCAAACUGUGUCCCCUGGGAGGGAGAAUUGGGCUGUGAGAAGAACAGGCAAAACCCUGGUGUCCUGAGAUGAUGAGCCAGAGAAAACAGCGAAGAUCUGGCAGGAAGGUCCUUGCUCAUCCCUUCACUGGAGACUCCUGAGGAUCUGGGGAUUUUGGACACCUCCUCUGCAG